CACAGGGGGAUAGCCCGAAGAAAUUCGGAUUAAUACCCCAUAACACAGGGAUGCCGCAUGGCAAUAUUUGUUAAAGGAGCAAUCCGGUAGAAGAUGAGUAUGCGUUCCAUUAGGUAGUUGGUGAGGUAACGGCCCACCAAGCCUACGAUGGAUAGGGGAACUGAGAGGUUUAUCCCCCACACUGGAACUGAGACACGGUCCAGACUCCUACGGGAGGCAGCAGUGAGGAAUAUUGGUCAAUGGACGCAAGUCUGAACCAGCCAAGUCGCGUGAAGGAUGACGGCCCUACGGGUUGUAAACUUCUUUUGUAUGGGAGUAAAAAAGUCUACGAGUAGACUAUUGCAAGUACCAUACGAAUAAGCAUCGGCUAACUCCGUGCCAGCAGCCGCGGUAAUACGGAGGAUGCAAGCGUUAUCCGGAUUUAUUGGGUUUAAAGGGUGCGUAGGCGGGACAAUAAGUCAGCGGUGAAAGUUUGAGGCUCAACCUUAAAAUUGCCGUUGAAACUGUCGUUCUUGAGUAUAUUUGAAGUAGGCGGAAUUCGUAGUGUAGCGGUGAAAUGCAUAGAUAUUACGAAGAACUCCAAUUGCGAAGGCAGCUUACUAAACUAUAACUGACGCUGAAGCACGAAAGCGUGGGUAUCAAACAGGAUUAGAUACCCUGGUAGUCCACGCCGUAAACGAUGAUUACUAGCUGUUUGUGAUAUUACAAUAAGCGGCUAAGCGAAAGCGAUAAGUAAUCCACCUGGGGAGUACGCCGGCAACGGUGAAACUCAAAGGAAUUGACGGGGGCCCGCACAAGCGGAGGAACAUGUGGUUUAAUUCGAUGAUACGCGAGGAACCUUACCCGGGCUUGAAAUGCAUCUGACCGCCCAAGAAACUGGGCUUCUAGCAAUAGCAGAUGUGUAGGUGCUGCAUGGUUGUCGUCAGCUCGUGCCGUGAGGUGUCGGCUUAAGUGCCAUAACGAGCGCAACCCACAUUGUUAGUUACUAACAGGUCAAGCUGAGGACUCUGACAAGACUGCCAGCGUAAGCUGUGAAGAAAGGUGUGGAUGACGUCAAAUCAGCACGGCCCUUACGUCCGGGGCGACCACCGUGUUACAAUGGAUGGGACCAAAGGGCCGCUACCUAGUGGAUAGGAUGCCAAUUCCCGAAAGCCAUUCCCAGUUCCGAAUU
rnacentral:rRNA from 1 species